CGUGGGUAACCUGCCCAAGAGAUCGGGAUAACACCUGGAAACAGAUGCUAAUACCGGAUAACAACAGAUGAUGCCUAUCAACUGUUUAAAAGAUGGUUCUGCUAUCACUCUUGGAUGGGCCUGCGGUGCAUUAGCUAGUUGGUAGGGUAACGGCCUACCAAGGCGAUGAUGCAUAGCCGAGUUGAGAGACUGAUCGGCCACAUUGGGACUGAGACACGGCCCAAACUCCUACGGGAGGCAGCAGGU
rnacentral:rRNA from 1 species